AGCAGCCGCGGUAAUUCCAGCUCCAAUAGCGUAUAUUAAAGUUGUUGCAGUUAAAAAGCUCGUAGUUGAAUUUCGAGAUCAAAUUGUUGGUCGUGCCUUGGUACGCACUGGCAUUAUUGGUUUCUCCCUUCUGACGAACCAUGAUGUCAUUAAUUUGGUGUCUUGGGGAAUCAGGACUGUUACUUUGAAAAAUUAGAGUGUUUAAAGCAGGCUCACGCUUGAAUACAUUAGCAUGGAAUAAUGAAAUAGGACGUUUGAUUCUAUUUUGUUGGUUUCUAGGAUCGACGUAAUGAUUAAUAGGGAUAGUUGGGGGCAUUAGUAUUCAAUUGUCAGAGGUGAAAUUCUUGGAUUUAUUGAAGACUAACUACUGCGAAAGCAUUUGCCAAGGAUGUUUUCAUUAAUCAAGAACGAAAGUUAGGGGAUCGAAGACGAUCAGAUACCGUCGUAGUCUUAACCAUAAACUAUGCC
rnacentral:misc_RNA from 1 species